CAUUGACAGAAGACAACUUCUCCUUUUACACUCGAGAGCAUAUUCUCCAUCCAUCCAUCAUGUCCCCAGAGACGUCCGUGUUAUUCCUCUGGUUGGUUCUCAUACAAGAAGGAGCUUCCAUCAGACCUGUGGUGACCUUCACUCCAAACUACAAGAAGAUAUUCACAACAGAGUCUAUAACAAUGACCUGUGAUGUG